CAAUAGCGUAUAUUAAAGUUGUUGCAGUUAAAAAGCUCGUAGUUGGAUUUGUGGCGUACGGUGUGUUCCGGGCACUUGUUGUCUGAGUAACCUGCUGUUGCCAUCCUUGGGUGGAACCUGUGUGGCAUUAGGUUGUCGUGCAGGGGAUGCCCAUCAUUUACUGUGAAAAAAUUAGAGUGUUCAAAGCAGGCUUAUGCCGUUGAAUAUAUUAGCAUGGAAUAAUGAGAUAGGACUUUUUUGCUAUUCUGUUGGUUUGCGCAAAGAGGUAAUGAUUAAUAGGGACAGUUGGGGGUAUUCGUAUUCCAUUGUCAGAGGUGAAAUUCUUGGAUUUUUGGAAGACGAACUACUGCGAAAGCAUUUACCAAGGAUGUUUUCAUUAA
rnacentral:rRNA from 1 species